rnacentral:rRNA from 1 species
AGAGUUUGAUCCUGGCUCAGGAUGAACGCUAGCUACAGGCUUAACACAUGCAAGUCGAGGGGCAGCAUGAUUGAAGCUUGCUUUGAUUGAUGGCGACCGGCGCACGGGUGAGUAACGCGUAUCCAACCUUCCCUAUAGUAGAGAAUAGCCCGGCGAAAGUCGGAUUAAUGCUCUAUGUUGUAUUUAGAAGACAUCUGAAGAAUACCAAAGGUUUACCGCUAUAGGAUGGGGAUGCGUCUGAUUAGGUAGUAGGCGGGGUAACGGCCCACCUAGCCGACGAUCAGUAGGGGUUCUGAGAGGAAGGUCCCCCACAUUGGAACUGAGCCAUGAUCAAACUC